GUUGUCCGACUCUGUUGCCUCCGGGGCGACCCUGCCUUCGGGCGGGGGCUCCGGGUGGACACUUCAAACUCUUGCGUAACUUUGCAGUCUGAGUAAACUUAAUUAAUAAAUUAAAACUUUUAACAACGGAUCUCUUGGUUCUGGCAUCGAUGAAGAACGCAGCGAAAUGCGAUAAGUAAUGUGAAUUGCAGAAUUCAGUGAAUCAUCGAAUCUUUGAACGCACAUUGCGCCCCCUGGUAUUCCGGGGGGCAUGCCUGUUCGAGCGUCAUUUCACCACUCAAGCCUCGCUUGGUAUUGGGCAACGCGGUCCGCCGCGUGCCUCAAAUCGACCGGCUGGGUCUUCUGUCCCCUAAGCGUUGUGGAAACUAUUCGCUAAAGGGUGCUCGGGAGGCUACGCCGUAAAACAAACCCAUUUCUAAGGUUGACCUCGGAUCAGGUAGGGAUACCCGCUGAA
rnacentral:rRNA from 1 species